rnacentral:snRNA from 3 species
UUGCUUGGGCAGCAUGUCUACUAAAAUUGGAAUGAUACGGAGAAGGUUAGCCUGGCCCCUGUGCAAGGAUGACACACAAAUUCAUGAAGUGUUCCAUAUUUUU